rnacentral:lncRNA from 1 species
GUUAGGUUAAUUGGCAUGUGGUAAAACGAAGAAAUCAUAGGGUAUAUAAUUAAACUUUAGUGAUAUUGACAUAGAUGCAUAUAGUAUAUUUUAAUAUAAAUAUUUUUUUAUUGACACUUCCUACUCAUAUGAUUUUAUUAACAUUUGUAUGUUUGCUGUAACAAAAAUUUAAACCGUUAAUCACGAAACUUUUAAGGGUUUUUUUUGCAAAUAUGACUCAAAACUUGAAGUUAAAUACAAAACUAAACCAUCUUUUUUUUGGAACUUUGACUUGCAUCUUUCAUCCCCAAAGUUCAGAUUAUUCACGAAAAUGUCAUCAUUUUUUUUUCUUUUUUUUCGAAAAUGCAUAUUUU